GGGGGCUGUGCAUCUGGGGUGCCAGAAGUGAGAGUGAGGGCUCAGGUCAGUGUGUGAUCACUGAACUAAUUGAUGAGCAGGUGAAGUGAUUUGGAAGCUGGGGGUGUUUGUGUGUGUGUGUGUGAGUGUGAUGACCAGAGGAAUUGUGACAGGAGAUCAGGGGGUCCAGGCCAAGUGCUGAAGAGGCCAAGAGAUCUGAAUGCCAACAGGACGUGUGUGUGUGUGAGUGUGGAGGGUCUGUGUGUGUUUGAGUGUGAGGCCCUACAAGGGGUCUGGAGCAGCACCUGGAGGGGGGCUGCAGCCUCAGCAGCACGUGUGCCCAGGUACCAGCAACAGGAGAUAUCAAGGAUCCAGAUACUGGAGCUUUGAGGGGUCUGAGCCCAGUCACUAGAGGACUCUGCACAGCACAUGUGGAUGUAUUUCCCACUGAUGGACCUUCAGCCUGAUCAGCUGGAGAGAGACCCUGGAUUGGAACAGAGCUUGAUUUGCCUCAGAUAUGAGCAGAGAUUAUUCUCCUUCACUGCCCAAGACUUGCUAGAUGGGAUUUCGAAUUCAGUUGACAACAAUAGACUAACUUUCCAGAUUAUUUGAUAGUGCCUAGGCACAAAGCAGCUGGAAAAGUGAAGAUCUCCUAGAUUUGAAGUUGGUGAUACUCACAGUUGUUUGCCAUAUGCAAUCUCGGAGAACAAAGAACCCUCUCUUCAGUCCCAUGCCCUUGCCAAAAUAUUUCUAUGUUUUCUGGGAGGGACCAGCAAGAUAUUCAAAGAGAUAUUCAAACUGCCAGGAGCUAUUGUCCAAGAAGCAUCCACUGAGAGAUUAAGCACUGAAUGGGGACAGUCCACCAAAUCAAUUAAUGCUGCUGGACUCUCUGGCCAUCAUUCCACAGGCACUGAUGGGCCUCAUGAGAUAAAAUGCAACAUAAGGCAGACAAACAGUGAUGAGGAGCCAAAUUUUUUGGAACACUUUGCAUUGCUGAAGCAGAGAACAGACAAUGCUAUGGAGUUUGCACAUCUGUCUGCAAAUCUAAUUUCACACCUUAAGAUCAAGCUGUACCUCAACAUUUUAUGUCCAUAUAUAUAUAUAUAUAUAUGUUUAUGUAUUUAUUAUUACUCUUUUGAUUUCCAAACUGAUAAUCUCCCUGGAAUGUUAAUUGAUGACAUUCUUGUUACCCUGCAUUCUUGCAGCCCUAAGACAAUCUAAAAAUUUAAUUGUCUCUGCACUGCUCUCAUGUAUAACCAGCCAGAGAAUAGAAGAGAUAUGACUGUGCUUUCUAAGCCCUAUAGCAAAAAUAUCAGAACUUAGAAUAAUCACAAGCAGAAAGUUAAUAAUUUCUGUUCUUGUGCACAGCUUGAAACCUGGCUGCUUUUCUGGAGCAGGUAAAUAGCUAUAAAAGAAUCAAGAAAAAAACAUCAUUUUUCAAGGACCCAGGUUAAAGUGGGGCCUUUUGCAUAAAAAUAAUAAUUUUCAUAUUAUACAUCUAACAUUUCUUUGGCACAGUGCCAGUGCAUAAUGUCUCCCUUGAAAAGGCCAUCAGUCUGAAUAUCUAUUAGAAAUUUCUUUCCUGAAUUAUUUACACAACUGAACAAUUUGUUUUCUUUUGUUUAGAUGGGUACCUUGAGUACAUGGGUGCAUUUUCAGCGUUUAUAAAUGUAGUUCAGGGCUGGCACAACUGAGUUUUCCACAACUAAUUACUUCAUGGUGCAGUAAGAAACAUGUGGUUUAUUUAAUGAAUGUACUCUGUAAAUUAAUUCCAAAAUUGAAAAUGCAAUUGGUCUUUAGAAAGGCAUCAUAUACUGUCUAUUGAAAUAAGACAAAAUGGUUUUUAUGCCAGCUUUGUAUUGUAAAUUUCUUACAUCUCAGUUAACUGAGAUUUCUUUAUCAUUCUGUUUCCAUCUCUGAAUUGCAGGGCAAUCCAGUUUUCACACAUGAAGAACAGAAUUACAUUAAUUUAAUCAUCCAGUUCUAUACAUAUGAAAUAUCAUUUGAUCCCUUUUGCAAUGGUGCUUCCAAUAGUUCCCAGCAGCAGGCAGUCAGUGAAAGAUAAGAAAUAGCAAGGUUCUAUAGCAUGUUGCUUUACAUGGUGAUUUCUCAGAAAGAUCAAACAUGCCAGAUGUUGAACUAAUAUACAUUGAACGAUUUCUUUUUUGAGAGCACUUAAAAGAACAGGCUGCAGAAAUAAUCUACAUUUCCUGUAAUCUAAUUUGCAAUGUAUAAAGUAAUGCUAGAAGCUCACUUUGAGCUGAACACCCAGAAGCAAGACUUUAUUGCAGUAUGUUUUCAGGUCAACCGAGGAUGAAAGAAUAAGGAAAGCACGCUCCUAGAAAUAAUGUUCAGUACUGGGCAGGUCCCAUCUUGUAGCUUUCUUACCUCAACCUAACUUAGAAGCAGUUGAGGCAAGGGACACAGCAGAGGAUUACCUGUUUUUUUCCCUUAUAAUUACAGCAGUGUGGUUUGCUGCUCUGUGACAGGAAUAUACUGCCCUUUCCGACUUUCUCCUGAGCUCAGACAUUUUGUGGAAGGCUGAUUCCUUUGCCAUGAGCACUGAGCUGCGAAAACAUGACAACAAAACAUAUGACAUGUUGAUUUUGGAACUUACUGUGUAUGAUAAUCACAUAUCUUGUUCUACCUGCAUUAUCUUGUUCCAUAUUCAUGUUAGUGAAGUAGACAAUGUUAGUUACUGUAGGUGCAGUGACGCUUUGGAAUUACUGAUGCCUAACUACAUAUAUUUUCUCAGGUAUACAUUUCCCUGAACCCUGUCACUAUGGGCCUCAUGUAGGAGUUGACUCUAUGGUUUCUUGACAAUAAGCAUGAUUUAAAAUCAUAGGCAGAGAAACACACAUUUAGUGGGUGAGAAUACAUGGAAUUUUUUCAUCAUGACAUGCCUGUUUUAGAAAAACUGCAGCAGGAGUUGAAGAGUUUGCUUUCUGUUUGUUUGUGGCUCCCAUUCCAAUGUAUGCUCACAAUGAACAAAUCCCUUGUUCUGUGAAAACACUAACGCAUCCUUCUCCUCCCAAAUCCACCAAAUCCAACAUAAUCUUGAAGAAAUUUAAAAAAAAGUUAAGGCCACAGAGAUGGGCAUUUCAAGCUGCUGAAAAUUAAAGUCUAAAAUACUACCAAAAAUUUCCCCAGUAUUUCCAAAUACUUAAAAAGAAAUAUUUGUCCAUGAGAACUCAGAGCAUGUCCUUUUUUCCUUCUAAGGUCCCCUCUAAGUUAGGUACAGACAACAUAGAGAGGGAAAUGCAUGUUGCAGAAGCUGAAGCAAGCAGAGGCUGGAAAAGUUUUAGCAGCAAAUUGAUGCCUGGGUAGUAGCUGUCCAAGAAGUUUGGACCUAUGAAUUACUGGAUGAAAUGUAAAAAAGGAAAGAUGUUGGUCUGGAACCUAGAAUUGACUGGAUAAACACACCUGGGAUGCUGGGAUGAGGGUAAGGUCAGUCAGGGAAGGAAGAGAAACAAAGAGACAGGAGAAGAAAUUGAAGACAUGAAAUGCCAAAAAAAAAAAAAAAAUUAAAAAAAAAAAAGGAAAGGAAGUUGGAGAAAAAGAGGACAAAACAACUGAAAGUCAGAUUUGAGUUCUGGGGGAAGAUGUGUCAUUCUGUGUGCCUGGUGUUGUGACACCUGCUCCCAGCUCCCACAGGCUCCCCCAUUUUCCCAUUUUACAGACCUUGGAGUAAAGACGGGGAUCUAGCUUAGAUUUUUUUCUCUGAAGCCACAUGCCUAAUUUAAAGCCCUUUUAGUGUCAGCAGGAAUAUCUAAGUCUCAUCUGAGCCUUAGUGCUUACAUAUAAACAUUACUCAGCAAUCUUUUGGCAGCAGCAGUGAUAGAAACCCAUCCUCCAGGGAAAUGUGUAACUCCCUUAGUCAAAAGACCUUAUUUUGUUAAUUUCAGCACUUCUGGCUCCUUUCCCAGUGUUUCUUCUUCUUGAUAACAAAUUAUGCAGAAGGCUCUGUAUAUGAGGUGCUUCACUCCUGACACUUUAAUUCACUUCCUUUCUCUAUCUCCUGCAAAAAGAAAGCAGGAUUUUUCUGCAGGUAAAAGGUAUGGUGGGGCAGGAGGGGGAGGGAAGGUAGAUUGUGUGAUUUUGUAAGCAAAGUCUGAAUCUUAAAAAAUGUGAUCAAAUCUAAAUUUUGCAGUCAUAUUUUAAAAUUAUAUUUUUAAAAUAUAGGUUUACAACUUGAAUUAAGUGAGCUUAACCUAUGUUAUAUGUACAAAAAGGUUAAGAUUUGGUGAGAAGCCCCAAAAUGCUGAUACAAACAUUACUGCAUGCUUCAUAUUGAAUCUAAAUGCUUAUGCCCAUUUAUGUGUAGAAUUGCACCUGUGCUGUAAGAAUGAGCAAAAGAACCAUCACAACCAAGCAACUACAUCGAUUAUAUAAAAGUACUAGUGACCCAAAAUUUCCUUCAGCAUUUUACUACGGAGGACUACAUCCUUAAUUCUGCAAACCACUCCUUCCCUGGUGAGGCUUAUCUGGUGUUGGUAGUGAAAAAUUGCAAAAUGCUGAAUGUGAAAAGAUACACUUGCAUCUACCAAUUUGCAGUUUAGAUCUAUAUGCAAUAAAGUAACUAUUUAUAGCAAAA